UACGUAGGUGGCAAGCGUUGUCCGGAUUUAUUGGGUUUAAAGGGUGUGUAGGCGGACUUUUAAGUCAGCGGUGAAAUCUCCGGGCUCAACCCGGAAACUGCCAUUGAUACUAUUGGUCUUGAAUGUUGUUGAGGUGGGCGGAACGGGUCAUGUAGCGGUGAAAUGCAUAGAUAUGACCCGGAACACCGAUUGCGAAGGCAGCCCACUAAGCAACGAUUGACGCUGAGGCACGAAAGCGUGGGGAUCAAACAGG
rnacentral:rRNA from 1 species